GAGCCAACAGAAGUGUGGACCGCUGUUUACUCAGAAGGAAGCCUCUGGUGUGACAAAUUAGAGUGGGCUGCUGCAUUGUGCAGGACUCAUGAGCCAAACGGCUUGGAAAUAGCACAUACCGCCGCGGCAGGUGAAUCAUUUCUUGUUCUGUCUUCUCAGGCAGGGCAUCAGAUCCCAGGGCAGGCAGACCCAGAGCCUGUCAGGGUCAUGCUCGGUGCCUAAGGACCGUGGACAUCCUUUGUUUCCUGGGACGAUGCGGUUGACUUUGACGGUUCCGUGGGAACGUACUUUCAGCCUAAUUAACCUUGUCGAGCCAAGUGCUCCCCCCACACGGAGUGAAACUUGUAAAGUUCAAAGGUCACAAGUGAAUUUUCAGAUCAGCAGAAGGUCCCAUCAUCUUUUUCUUAGAAUAUUAAAAAAAGAAAAGAAAAGAAAGAAAAGCAAACAGAUUGAAAUCUAUCAGGUACAAGGAAGCAACGGACUUUAUACUGCAGGGGCAUGAUGGGUAAUGAAGUAAUGAUUCAGACGUUGAGCCUAGCUUAACUUCAGAGACGUCCAAACUUACUCUGUAGGCCAGAGGUGGCAAAGCCGGUCAGUAUAAAGAAUAGGAUUUGAAGCCUGUCCCUGGCUUUGACUGGAUCUAAAUCUUUCCUAGUUAUUGCUUCUGCACUCACCAAUAGAAACCAGUCCCCCACAGAGGCUGUGGAGCUCCCAGCAUAGGCAUGAAGCAUCGCCGCUGUGUCCUGCACUGUAGGUACCCAACAAAUGAUGGCUGAUUCUAUGACGACUGAGAACCCAGCGACGUGGUUGGGAAAGACACUCUGCAUGGGCCCACUAGGGACAUCUGAAGCUGCACUUUGAGGUGUUGGGAACUUUCCCACCUCUGCGCUGUUCCUUGGUUCUCAGCCCUGUGAGGAGGAACAGCCUUCUGUCUGCAGAGGAGAAAACUGAUGGAAUGGAGCUUAGGAACACACAGAGGCUGCUUCCUGCCGACUGUCAGUGCUGCAUGCCUUCCUACCUCUAAGUUGUGUGUCUGCGCAUGGAGCUCAGAAGUUCAUUCAUUGGUUGCCCAAGGAACACCGGGAGCUUCGCAUCAUGAAGAUUUCUCCAUUGCCUCUUGAUGAAGGUAUUCCCCAACCUCCCCUUCUUCGUUUGGGGAAUGAAGACCAUAGCAAGAUCCAUCCCACAGGCUGGCCAAAGAGUGCGGGAGAGCGAGGAUGCUUGUGCAUUUCAUCCGCAGGAAUUUACUCCGAUGCAGAAGCGGGUUUUCUAGGAAUAAAGGUCACGGAAGAGCUUGGAGGGGUGAGGUGGUGCGGACUCCACCUGCCGUCUGGGAUCCCACCGGAUCCUGAGAGUGCUAUUUAAAAACUCGGUUCGGAAAUACUUACUUAGCACUUCUGCGACUCCACUCCCUGUCCUGCCCACCAGGUCAUUCUGGCUGUUGCUACAGUGAGUGGGUGUGUUUUAUUCGCUCACCUCAUGACUCCCUCCGAGUUAGAGAAGUUGGAAACACUGACUACGGUUCUGUCUGCUGCUACUUUCAUGUCACCUCCUCUGUGCUCAGGAAGGUGUGUCUCCUGUGAGGAAGCUGUCACAUCUGCACGUGAGUCUUCAGCGAGCCUGAGCCUCCUCAUCCUUUGAAGUCAGGGCUCAUGACUUGGCAUUCAGACAAUCAGAAGAGGCUGCGUUUGGAAUAUGCUGUCGCCAAUGGUGCGGGGUCAAGGCUACUGUGGCCACCAAAGCACACACUGACCCAGGACCACCCCAAGCCUCUGGAAUUGAGUCUGUUCCUCUUGAUGUGGCUCUAAUUCUUUCCCAUUUCCAUGUGACAGUAUUCUUGUAUAAGUUUUUCAAAGGCUCUUGGAAGUUUUUCAGAGGCUCUGGGCAGCGGGGGUUAAUGGCAUUGCUUGUUGCUGACUAACAUUUAUUUAUGAGGGACAGCUUUGCGUUUACAAGAACCUCAAGAGCCCCAUAUCUCUGUGAUUGCAGGCAGACCUCAGAUGACCUCGAGGUGUAAGUCCGGCUUCGUAGGAGACAAUAGUCUGAACUGGGAGGAAGAGAAUAAAAAUAAGACCAAGGGGGAAUGGAAAGACAGACACAAAGGGGGCUCAUCUGAUACUACCACAUUCAAGCUCACGUUUUAAAGGUCUCAGUUGAGAAUUCUACUUUGGGUCUAUCAAGCCACCCUCACCUCUCCUGUGGUUAGAAAGAAAACCAAACCAAACAAAUAAAACAAACAAGAAAGACCAAAAAAGAAAGAAAGAAAACCCCCCAAACCAAGAAUCCAUUCAGAAAAAUUCAGUGUCCUACACGUUUGUAGAGCAGACUUCUAAAUGCUCCGUCUCCACUCUGAUCCCUGACGUCUCUCACAUCUUUGAAUCAGAGCUUUAUACCCAGGGUCCCGCUAUGACUGCUCUUCAAGUUCACCAGCUGCUUCAUCGCUGCCAUUUUGUGAAUCUCCGCCUCGCUGGUCCCCACACAGAAGCAAUGCUAGGGACAAGCCUCUUUGUACUGAACCCCCCCCCCCCCCCCCCC